UGGGGAAUUUUGGACAAUGGGCGCAAGCCUGAUCCAGCCAUGCCGCGUGCAGGAUGAAGGCCUUCGGGUUGUAAACUGCUUUUGUACGGAACGAAAAGGUGCCUUCUAAUAAAGGGCGCUCAUGACGGUACCGUAAGAAUAAGCACCGGCUAACUACGUGCCAGCAGCCGCGGUAAUACGUAGGGUGCGAGCGUUAAUCGGAAUUACUGGGCGUAAAGCGUGCGCAGGCGGUUUUGUAAGACAGAGGUGAAAUCCCCGGGCUCAACCUGGGAACUGCCUUUGUGACUGCAAGGCUGGAGUGCGGCAGAGGGUGAUGGAAUUCCUCGUGUAGCAGUGAAAUGCGUAGAUAUGCGGAGGAACACCGAUGGCGAAGGCAAUCCCCUGGGCCUGCACUGACGCUCAUGCACGAAAGCGUGGGGAGCAAACA
rnacentral:rRNA from 1 species